rnacentral:tRNA from 1 species
GCCUGGGUGGCUCAAUCGGUUGAGCGUCUGACUUGGGCUCAGGUCAUGAUCUCGCUGUCUGUGAGUUUGAGCCCCGCAUUGGGCU